UAACCUGCCUGGUAGCGGGGGAUAACUAUUGGAAACGAUAGCUAAUACCGCAUAAUAGUAGAUGUUGCAUGACACUUACUUAAAAGGUAGCAAUUGCAUCACUACCAGAUGGACCUGCGUUGUAUUAGCUAGUUGGUGGGGUAACGGCUCACCAAGGCGACGAUACAUAGCCGACCUGAGAGGGUGAUCGGCCACACUGGGACUGAGACACGGCCCAG
rnacentral:rRNA from 1 species